rnacentral:rRNA from 1 species
ACGAACGCUGGCGGCGUGCUUAACACAUGCAAGUCGAACGGGUCUGCCCUGUUUUUUGCGGGGUGGGUCAGUGGCGAACGGGUGAGUAACACGUGAGUAACCUGCCCCUCACUUCUGGAUAACCGCUUGAAAGGGUGGCUAAUACGGGGUGUUCUGGCUGUGCCGCAUGGUGUGGCUGGGAAAGAUUCACUUUUGUGGUGUUUUGGUGGGGGAUGGGCUCGCGGCCUAUCAGCUUGUUGGUGGGGUGAUGGCCUGCCAAGGCUUUGACGGGUAGCCGGCCUGAGAGGGUGGGCGGUCACACUGGGACUGAGAUACGGCCCAGACUCCUGCGGGAGGCAGCAGUGGGGGGUAUUGCACAAUGGGCGGAAGCCUGAUGCAGCGACGUCGCGUGAGGGAUGGAGGCCUUCGGGUUGUGAACCUCUUUCGCCGGUGAAGAAGGUCCUGCUCUUUGUGGGGGGGUUGACGGUAGCCGGGUUAUGAAGCGCCGGCUAACUACGUG